AUUGAACGCUGGCGGCAUGCCUUACACAUGCAAGUCGAACGGUAACAGGUCUUCGGAUGCUGACGAGUGGCGAACGGGUGAGUAAUACAUCGGAACGUGCCCGAGAGUGGGGGAUAACGAGGCGAAAGCUUUGCUAAUACCGCAUACGAUCUCAGGAUGAAAGCAGGGGGACCGUAAGGCCUCGCGCGAUUGGAGCGGCCGAUAUCAGAUUAGCUAGUUGGUGGGGUAAAAGCCCACCAAGGCGACGAUCUGUAGCUGGUCUGAGAGGACGACCAGCCACACUGGGACUGAGACACGGCCCAGACUCCUACGGGAGGCAGCAGUGGGGAAUGUUGGACAAUGGACGCAAGUCUGAUCCAGCCAUGCCGCGUGCGGGAAGAAGGCCUUCGGGUUGUAAACCGCUUUUGUCAGGGAAGAAACGAGUUUCUCUAAUACAGAGACUUAAUGACGGUACCUGAAGAAUAAGCACCGGCUAACUACGUGCCAGCCGCCGCCGUAAAAC
rnacentral:rRNA from 1 species